GUGUCAGCAGCCGCGGUAAUACGUAGGGUGCGAGCGUUAAUCGGAAUUACUGGGCGUAAAGCGUGCGCAGGCGGUUCGCCGUGUCCGAUGUGAAAGCCCCGGGCUCAACCUGGGAAUGGCAUUGGAAACUGGCGGGCUGGAGUGUGGCAGAGGGGGGUGGAAUUCCACGUGUAGCAGUGAAAUGCGUAGAGAUGUGGAGGAACACCGAUGGCGAAGGCAGCCCCCUGGGCCAACACUGACGCUCAGGCACGAAAGCGUGGGGAGCAAACAGGAUUAGAUACCCGAGUAGUCC
rnacentral:rRNA from 1 species